UAGGGAAUCUUCCGCAAUGGACGAAUGUCUGACGGAGCAACGCCGCGUGAGUGAUGAAGGUUUUCGGAUCGUAAAGCUCUGUUGUUAGGGAAGAACAAGUACGAGAGUAACUGCUCGUACCUUGACGGUACCUAACCAGAAAGCCACGGCUAACUACGUGCCAGCAGCCGCGGUAAUACGUAGGUGGCAAGCGUUGUCCGGAAUUAUUGGGCGUAAAGGGCUCGCAGGCGGUUUCUUAAGUCUGAUGUGAAAGCCCCCGGCUCAACCGGGGAAGGUCAUUGGAAACUGGGGAACUUGAGUGCAGAAGAGGAGAGUGGAAUUCCACGUGUAGCGGUGAAAUGCGUAGAGAUGUGGAGGAACACCAGUGGCGAAGGCGACUCUCUGGUCUGUAACUGACGCUGAGGAGCGAAAGCGUGGGGAGCGAACAGGAUUAGAUACCCUGGUAGUCCACGCCGUAAACGAUGAGUGCUAAGAGUUAGGGGGUUUCCGCCCCGUUAGUGCUGCAG
rnacentral:rRNA from 1 species